GCCUGUAUAGCUCAGUCAAUAGAGCAUCUGACUUAUAAUCUGAUGGUCCAUGGUUCAAGUCCCUGUUCAGGCA